AGGAGUGUGACUAGGAGGCUGGGGCGGCCGGCCGUAGUCAGCAGGAGACAGAGGUGGGGCUGGCGCGAGGAUGCAGAGGGGAGGUGGGGAACCCGGCCUCAAUGGACCAAGUUUCAGCCAGGGAGGCAGAUGGGUUGUGCGUGGGCAGUUCAGAAGCAUCAGUGCGGACAGAGAUCCGCGAGCCGCACGCCUUCGCGUCAGUCGCGUCUGUUUGAUUCUCCCCAGUGAAGUUUCUCCCAACCCCCAUCCCGACCAAGAAGCCACUGAAGAAAAGAACCAGAUGGAGCUCCUUGAGAUGCGUCUACAUGAUCCUCACCUUCUUGUUCGUGUCCUACAACAAAGGCGACUGGUGUUACUGCCAUUACUGUAACCCAGAAGUGGACACCAGAAGUGACCCCUGCUGUGCUUUCUAGCAGCCCUGCUGCACCUCCACUCCGCCGUCACAACUCCUCCGUCUCCCAGGCAGACAGUCUCACCUCUCCGAGAAAACUCUGUCCCCUAGAUGACCGAUUUGGAGGGUAACGCGUUGGGUCCUUUGAGGAAUAGCGCCUGUCUGCUCAGAGGCGUGGCAGGAAGGUGUCUCUGAGAAGAUGCGCCCAGAGAGUCACUGAGCCAGCCUCUGCAGGGGUGCUCCCCACACCUCCUCUUAAGCCUUUCUCAACACUUCCGCCCGUAGCCGUAAUAAAAUGUGCAC
rnacentral:lncRNA from 1 species